GGCGUGGACACUUCGAAUCCAAGUAGGGCUGGUGCUAAGACAAAUUUGAAAUUCCCUAAUUGUGGCCUCAAAUCUUCCUCGCAAUUGGUAACGAUCAUCGUCUUUCCUAAUUUUUAAUUUUUCCAAGAUUGCACGAAGGGAUCCUGUUACUUCCUCUCUGGAGCCUGAACAGAAAACGGUGACAUAUUCAGCAUAUAAAAGACAUUUCAGAGGAAUAUAUUCUCGGCGAUAUACUUUAUAUCCUUGAAACCAAGUUUAUCAUCUUCCAUAGAUCAUUCAUUGCUAUUAUGAAAAGAGAAGGGGAAAGAAGAUCUCCUUGUCGAGCCGCUCUAAGUAUAGAGAAUCUAUCAGGCGAUCCCGGAAUACCAACUAUUGUUUUGGAAUUUAAAAUUAUUGCACAGAUCUUUUCAAUGAAGCCCUCCGGGAACCCAAAUAGUGUCAAUUGUUCGAUGAUGUAUUUCAAAAUUCAUAAGCACCGUUGCAUACUUACUUCCUGUUGAAGAGUCUAUAGCACUGAUCCUGAACUGAGCGUGGAAUAUUUUCUAUUAGGCGAAGUUUCAUAAACCCUUUUUUGAGCUGGAGAGAUGAUUUGUGGAAGAUAUUUCAUUAUUCGGCGAUUAAGAAUGCCUGUGAUUAUUUGGAUCAAAGUCAGAGAGUCACAACUCAUAAAGUCUGGGAUAAAGCCUUUCUUAAAUAUUUCCUCGAAAACCUUUGCGAGUAUUGGUGAUAGAAGUAAAUCAAACUGUUUAUAGAUGAAAAACUUCACUCACACACCUUCCAUACGAAAGACAAGUCUUCAAGAUUUGACCUGUUCUUACUGAAAGGAUAUUUAACGGAAUCUACAAUUUCUUAUAAUGUAAUAGAUACUCAACUAUCAUCCAACCAUAAAGCCAUCAACAUUCAAUUCAAUCCAAAGUCUAAAGAAUUGAGACAAAAAGGCCAAUGGUAAUUAAAUUCAGUACUUUUAGAUGACUCCGACACAAAUGAUGAAAUUAUCGACAUUAUUCAGAGAACAUAUUAUAAUUUAGCUCGCCCUGCAAACGUAUUUAUGCAAGUGGAAGAAAUGUUUUUGAAAAUCAAUAGUCUACCUCGAAAAAAAAGGGAGGUAUGCGAGCCGCGGAAAAAAGUCGUUAUCUUCCUAAGAUUGAAAAAAUCUCAAAUCGUGAUUUAAAUCCCACAAUUAAAAAAGAAAAAGUUUUGUCAACUAUUCAGGGAAGCAGACUUAUUCUACAGGAUGAAACUUAAACGUGACUCCAUUGAAGACAUCUCCCAUUCCCCCUUGCGAUGUAUUGUUGAAGAAAACAACAAGAACAAGAAGAAAAAUAUAUCGAUUUACACGCCAUCUGGAAAACUCACUAACAACCCUGAAUAUAUUUGCCA
rnacentral:lncRNA from 1 species